rnacentral:rRNA from 1 species
UACGAAGGGGGCUAGCGUUGCUCGGAAUCACCGGGCGUAAAGCGCACGUAGGCGGACUCUUAAGUCAGGGGUGAAAUCCUGGAGCUCAACUCCAGAACUGCCUUUGAUACUGGGAGUCUUGAGUUCGGGAGAGGUGAGUGGAACUGCGAGUGUAGAGGUGAAAUUCGUAGAUAUUCGCAAGAACACCAGUGGCGAAGGCGGCUCACUGGCCCGAUACUGACGCUGAGGUGCGAAAGCGUGGGGAGCAAACAGG